CAAAAGUAUUUCAUGAGCAUAUUUCUUGUAUGGGUGUCAAAUCAGAUAAGGAUUAUGUAUUUUAGUGGGAGUUUGUAUUGUACAUUUAUGCAUUGUCCAUUAUAUUCAGAAACUCAGUAAUUCAGUUAUAUCUGCGUAGAUAUUCAGUUUUAAAGUUUUUUGUACUCUUACAGUUUAUGAUUGAUCUCAAUAAAGAGAACNNNNN
rnacentral:lncRNA from 1 species